CCUACGGGAGGCAGCAGUGAGGAAUAUUGGUCAAUGGGCUUACGCCUGAACCAGCCAAGUCGCGUGAGGGAAGACUGCCCUAUGGGUUGUAAACCUCUUUUGUCAGGGAGCAACGCCGGCUACGUGUAGACGGACUGAGAGUACCUGAAGAAAAAGCAUCGGCUAACUCCGUGCCAGCAGCCGCGGUAAUACGGAGGAUGCGAGCGUUAUCCGGAUUUAUUGGGUUUAAAGGGUGCGUAGGCGGAAUGCCAAGUCAGCGGUAAAAUCGCGGGGCUCAACCUCGCUCCGCCGUUGAAACUGGCGUUCUUGAGUGGGCGAGAAGUAUGCGGAAUGCGUGGUGUAGCGGUGAAAUGCAUAGAUAUCACGCAGAACUCCGAUUGCGAAGGCAGCAUACCGGCGCCCAACUGACGCUGAAGCACGAAAGCGUGGGUAUCAAACAGGAGUAGAUACCCUGGUAGUC
rnacentral:rRNA from 1 species